GAGAUGUGACCCGGGAACAGAACAAAGCAGGCUCUCAUUCGGGGAUGGAGGGAAAAAAAAAAACAUAACACUUUAUUUAUUACAAAUCUAGAAAGGAACACAUACUAAACUAAGAAUGAAAACCUUCCAGAUACCUUCCUCCUCCCCCUCCCUUUUCUCCAGAGAUCCACCACCCCUCAAAUUAUCAACCCUCAAAUCCAUCAGGGAGAGAGGAGUCCCCCCUUGCUUCAUGGGCCUCCCCCGGAAGCACAAUUGAAACCUCCUGUGCUUCCGUGUCACCCAUGGCCCCACCCAGAGAACAUCGGCCCUCGUGACUUCUCCCCCCCCAUGUCCAGUGCUCUCACCACUGGACACGGGCCAGGACUGCUUUUAGGGCUCCCCGUUUAAAGAUGCUCCACCCACUUCCAGAAGCAGCAGUCUCUCAACUCUUGGGACACCAGUCCCCCCCAAAUUUCACCCCCUGGGGCCGAGGGGCCUCAUGAACAGAGAUCUUUCUCUCCGUGGAGACAGAGGGCAUCCCACACCCCCUUCAGCCGUCUCUGUUCACGCCACUGCUUCACUCUUGACUCCCGGGUGUUGCCUUCCCCUAAAUACAGUCUCUGGGUCACAGGGAAAAAACACGGGUCUGUCCAUGGCUAUACAAGAAAGAGUCCAGCCCAAGGCCACUCCAUCAUCUCUUCUACUCAGGAUUCUUCUCUCUUCCAGCUUUCCUCACGCUUGCCCAUCUCUCAUCUCUUUCUCACCUCAUCCUGAUUCAGGAGGAUUCAGUAUUUGUAAGGUUUCUAUUAGUCUACAAAGGGGUUAAAAUUUUCUUCUGCCUGCCCAAGGACUCCCACAGCAGCUGGGCACCUCUGUCGCCGCAUCCCCCGCUUCUGGCCGGCUGAACAGCUAGCACAAUUUCUGUCCCUCUCUCCGGGGGGGGCUGCCCAGACAUCCCAAGUCUCUUCCACCCCUGCAUGUUCUCCUCCACCUCUGCAGCUUUUGGGGCUCCCGGCCUCCUCCCUGUCAUGGCCUCCCCCUCCCCCACCCAGACGCAGCUGGGCAGGGGAGAGGCCAGACUCUACUCACCAACGCCGGAUUCCCAAAGAGGAAGUUCUCUGGGAAUCUCCUGCUUUUAACCCCCGUGUGUUCUCAGAGGCGUAUCCAAACCCUUAGUGGCUACAUUAAAUGCCAAUUUUGAAUUUGGCCACUGAUUGGCCCGACUUAGACCUUUCCAAAAACACAUUUCCGGGCCAAACCACGACAGAGGGGAGUGCACAAGAUGUCCACAACAUGGUUCAGGAUUUUAUCCCUUUAGUUUCUUAAUAUCCAGAGGUUCUUACAAAUUAUUAUGUAAAACCUUGCAUCUAUUGCAAAUGUACUGAUUUGCAGAUAUGGAAAGCAAUCUCAUUUCCCACCAUUGUGAAUGCAACCUGCAAUUGUUGCCUGGAGAGUUUGGCUGGAAAGUGUGUUGAUACUUACACACGUGGAUAAAGUUCUGCAGAACUUAAAAUACGAAUAAAAACCCAUGGGGCCAAUUUUUCAAAAUGAAGAGGCCGACUUCCACCUCUUGACUUUGCUAAGUCAGAGUUCAACGAGAUUCCUCUGAAGAGAGCCCUGAGCUCACCUGUGGAUCAUGAGCGUGGCAGUGGCCAGAGGUCUCAGAGAGCAUCUUCCAAGAGGAGCUUUGUUCUGGGACUCACAGGAAGUCAAACGCCCACCUGGUUUCAUGUUUCAGAAUGCUCACUUCCAUCUCAGAGCCACGUCUUGCACUGGCUGAUCUGUGCAAUAGUAUUUCCGUUCUCUGGAAUUUUGACUUGUGUAUGAGUCAUGAUUUACAUCCCAGUGAGAGAAAAAUGAUACAAAUUACAUAACCAGCAAGAAAUCAAAAGGGGAAAAAGAUGGAUGAAAGGAGAAUCAAAUCUACAGAUUUAUGAACUUAAUAGUGCAAUUUACAUAAUGUCUUUACCUCUGUGUUUUAUUAUUGCUUUAUUUAUCUUUUUGUUCUUGGGUUAAUCUCAUAUUCAUUUGUGCCACAGAUAAAUUCCAGAUUAUUAAAAUAUGAAUUAGAAGAGAGGACAUGCUGUCUGAUUAAAAUAAUAUCCGGUUACUACAUGCUGAUAUACACCCAGGCUAAAAUCCAAAUAGUCAAGCAUUAUCAAACUACAGCAUGUUUUAACAGCAUAGCCUGAAACUACUAAUUGUAUUACAAGAAUUAAGGGUGGGUUUUAUUCACUAAAUGAGAACAGCAAAUAAUGAAGAAAAUUAUUUAGCAAGCAGAGGUUGUCCCAGGAUGCAUCUUAAUGUAUCACUGGAGAGCCUUGUGAACAUUUGUUCAGAAAGACAGACUAUUAAAAAUGGCAUAUACAGGAAAAACCAGAACUUUUGAAAGAGAAUUGAGGCUGAUUAAUGUCUAAAAUAUUUAUUUUAGAAGUUCCUUAAAGAACAGAUAAGAGAGAUACCAGCUAUUGCUACGGCAGCAAAAUUUGUGUUGGAUUCUGAUUAGAAUGCAAUGCACUACAUUUUUAUUAACAUGCUAAAAUUAUUGCAUCAUUCACUUCCUCAGUGAAACAAAUAAAAAUGUAUAAAUAAAUAACUAAAAAUCAAUAGUGAUAUGAUUAAAACAUUUGUCAUAGGAAUAAAAACAUUUUAUUCCUCACCCAUUACCAUAAGAAAAAGGGCGGGAUAUCUCCACAAUGUCUCAAGUUCACCAACACUGUGUUCCAAAGAUCUGAUUCAGGCCAU